GACGAACGCUGGCGGCGUGCUUAACACAUGCAAGUCGAACGGUAAGGCUCCAGCUUGCUGGGGUACACGAGUGGCGAACGGGUGAGUAACACGUGGGUGACCUGCCCUGCACUUCGGGAUAAGCCUGGGAAACUGGGUCUAAUACCGGAUAGGACCGCACCGUGAGGGUGUGGUGGAAAGUUUUUUCGGUGUGGGAUGGGCCCGCGGCCUAUCAGCUUGUUGGUGGGGUAAUGGCCUACCAAGGCGGCGACGGGUAGCCGGCCUGAGAGGGUGGACGGCCACAUUGGGACUGAGACACGGCCCAGACUCCUACGGGAGGCAGCAGUGGGGAAUAUUGCACAAUGGGCGGAAGCCUGAUGCAGCGACGCCGCGUGGGGGAUGACGGCCUUCGGGUUGUAAACUCCUUUCACCAUCGACGAAGGGUUUCUGACGGUAGAUGGAGAAGAAGCACCGGCUAACUACGUGCCAGCAGCCGCGGUAAUACGUAGGGUGCGAGCGUUGUCCGGAAUUACUGGGCGUAAAGAGCUCGUAGGUGGUUUGUCGCGUCGUCUGUGAAAUUCCGGGGCUUAACUCCGGGCGUGCAGGCGAUACGGGCAUAACUUGAGUACUGUAGGGGAGACUGGAAUUCCUGGUGUAGCGGUGAAAUGCGCAGAUAUCAGGAGGAACACCGGUGGCGAAGGCGGGUCUCUGGGCAGUAACUGACGCUGAGGAGCGAAAGCAUGGGGAGCGAACAGGAUUAGAUACCCUGGUAGUCCAUGCCGUAAACGGUGGGCGCUAGGUGUGGGUUUCCUUCCACGGGAUCCGUGCCGUAGCUAACGCAUUAAGCGCCCCGCCUGGGGAGUACGGCCGCAAGGCUAAAACUCAAAGGAAUUGACGGGGGCCCGCACAAGCGGCGGAGCAUGUGGAUUAAUUCGAUGCAACGCGAAGAACCUUACCUGGGCUUGACAUAUACAGGAUCGCGCCAGAGAUGGUGUUUCCCUUGUGGCUUGUAUACAGGUGGUGCAUGGUUGUCGUCAGCUCGUGUCGUGAGAUGUUGGGUUAAGUCCCGCAACGAGCGCAACCCUUGUCUUAUGUUGCCAGCACGUUGUGGUGGGGACUCGUAAGAAACUGCCGGGGUUAACUCGGAGGGAGGUGGGGAUGACGUCAAAUCAUCAUGCCCCUUAUGUCCAGGGCUUCACACAUGCUACAAUGGUCGGUACAGUGGGUUGCCAGUCCGUGAGGGCGAGCUAAUCCCGCAAAGCCGGUCUCAGUUCGGAUCGGGGUCUGCAACUCGACCCCGUGAAGUCGGAGUCGCUAGUAAUCGCAGAUCAGCAACGCUGCGGUGAAUACGUUCCCGGGCCU
rnacentral:rRNA from 1 species